AAUGAAGAGUGAAAGGAGAACUGGACAAAAUUAAAAUGCUAUUCUGUCAUUGUAAUAGUUCACAUGGGCACUGACAGGAGAGCAUUUUGAUUUUGUCAAGUGUGUCUGCU
rnacentral:miRNA from 1 species